rnacentral:rRNA from 1 species
CCUGGCUCAGAGUGAACGCUGGCGGCGUGCUUAACACAUGCAAGUCGAACGAGAAACGGUCUAGCUUGCUAGAUGCAGUCUAAGUGGCGCACGGGUGAGUAAUAUAUAGGUAAUAUGCCUCUUACUAAGGGAUAACAGAUGGAAACGUCUGCUAAUACCUUAUAUGCCUUUAGGACUAAAGUCCGCAAGGGAAAGAUUUAUCGGUAAGAGAUUAGCCUGUACAGUAUCAGUUAGUUGGUGAGGUAAUGGCUCACCAAGACUAUGACACUUAACUGGUUUGAGAGGAUGAUCAGUCACACUGGAACUGAGACACGGUCCAGACUCCUACGGGAGGCAGCAGUGGGGAAUAUUGCACAAUGGACGAAAGUCUGAUGCAGCAACGCCGCGUGGAGGAUGACACAUUUCGGUGCGUAAACUCCUUUUAUAUGAGAAGAUAAUGACGGUAUCAUAUGAAUAAGCACCGGCUAACUCCGUGCCAGCAGCCGCGGUAAU